GCAGUGAAGACACCAUUCAGGAGCUACCUCCAAGAUAUGCUGGCUCUUGUGAAACGGGAGAGAGCUGAGCGAGAGGCUUUGGGAGCUCUACCUCUCUACCAAAGAACCAUUCCCUAAGCAUGUUAAAUUAGUCUCUCUUGUGCUAGAGUAAACCCCACUUAACCAAACAGAUCUUAAUAUUUUCUCUUUUUUCGUACUCUCUAGUCUUAAAUUUUCCGCACAAUCUGCUAUUGUAUGGUUUAUGUACAACGGUUUUCAUGUUAUAUUCAUUUAAACCUAUGCAUAAGAUUAUAUGAUGUUGAA